GUCGCUGCCAAUUCAGCGACCGGGUUUGGCGACCCGUCACACGUUAGGCGCAUAGGCGCCCCCAUCACGAUUGCAGGCGCUUUUUUU
rnacentral:sRNA from 1 species